GGGCACAUGGUGUAGUUGGUUAUCACGCUCGCUUAGCAAGCAUUAGCACGUGACAUGCGAGAGGUGUUGGGUUCAAUUCCCAAUGUGUCCA